rnacentral:rRNA from 1 species
GAUGAACGCUGGCGGCGUGCCUAAUACAUGCAAGUCGAGCGAACGGACGAGAAGCUUGCUUCUCUGAUGUUAGCGGCGGACGGGUGAGUAACACGUGGAUAACCUACCUAUAAGACUGGGAUAACUUCGGGAAACCGGAGCUAAUACCGGAUAAUAUUUUGAACCGCAUGGUUCAAAAGUGAAAGACGGUCUUGCUGUCACUUAUAGAUGGAUCCGCGCUGCAUUAGCUAGUUGGUAAGGUAACGGCUUACCAAGGCAACGAUGCAUAGCCGACCUGAGAGGGUGAGCGGCCACACUGGAACUGAGACACGGUCCAGACUCCUACGGGAGGCAGCAGUAGGGAAUCUUCCGCAAUGGGCGAAAGCCUGACGGAGCAACGCCGCGUGAGUGAUGAAGGUCUUCGGAUCGUAAAACUCUGUUAUUAGGGAAGAACAUAUGUGUAAGUAACUGUGCACAUCUGGACGGUACCUAAUCAGAAAGCCACGGCUAACUACGU